rnacentral:snoRNA from 1 species
AUCACCAGUAGCCAGCUCCACCCUUAGUGCUCUUGGUUUCAAUCAGGAGUCUAAAGAAGAGUCUUACGGUCGUUGGCCAUUUCAGAACUUUGGAAAUGUAAUGGUCAAUUCAUCAGAAAGAAACAUUA